rnacentral:snRNA from 1 species
AUACCUUUCUCGGCCUUUUGGCUAAGAUCAAGUGUAGUAUCUGUUCUUAUCAGUUUAAUAUCUGAUACGUGGGCCAAGCGCCCACCUCGAUAUUAAAUUAAUUUUUAUUAUGUGGCGGAGGGCCUCACCCACGGUAGCUUGCUGCCGGGGCCCUCGCGCGUCGCCGAUGCGUCGCACUGCUGCAUGGGCCUGGCGCACCCCUA